UUUUAUGUUGAAUGAACUAGUCGGCAUACAUGGAACAAAAAAUUAGCGGAAAAAAAAUAAUUGGAUACAAAUCCUUAUUAAUUGUGUAUAUUUUCAUAAUAGCUUAUAGGUAAAAUGCAUCCAAUGCACCUUUUAAAUUUUUAUUUAUCAAAAUCUAAUCACAUAGAAACAUAUUCUUAUAAAAAAAAAAAUAUUACUCAAUCAUCAAUAAUAUUUCAUAAACACUUACAAAUCAACAAAAAUGGUCAGAUAACAACUUACAAGAGUCUAUAUUCCCG
rnacentral:lncRNA from 1 species